UCACAGCUCCCAAGAGCCUAACCCGUGGAUUUAAAAGCUAAACAUCACAAGUUAGGGUCUCAGGGAUUGAGAGGGGCGCAACAAACUAGUCCUUGCAAAAAAAAAUAUAUAAAAAAAAUAAAAAUACCAAAACCAACGGGGAUCAAAAAAUAAUAAUCAUUAAAAAAAAAGAUCAAAAGGAGAAAGAGGAAAAGAAUAGCAGGCAAGUUCAAUUCAUGGCUCAAGAUUACAAAACAGGACACACAGGUGGAAGGAAAGAGCUUCUCUAAGGACCCUCUGUUGAGAGAAUACAUUCCAUUUUUAAUCGUUUAUACAAAAAAAAAAAAAUGACAUGGCGCGGCAGGUUCCUUACAGCUCCCAACAAGGUCGCUUGCGACAAAUACACGAAAAGUCUCCGCAUUUAAAUAACGAAGAGGAAGUUUGGGGCAGUGACGGAAUUAUUUUCAUUGUUUCAACGAGAAGGAAUGCAGAAAUAAGAGCAGGAAUCUGCAGGCUCGCUCCCGGCCCCUGGCACAAAGCGUGCAGCAGCAGCAGCAAGGCGCUGCCUCCCCGCCCCCUCCGCCAGCCCCGGGGAUGGAGAAAAACCCCGAGUCGCCACAAAACCAGCAUGGGAUAACCAAGGGCAGGAUGGGAGAGCAAAGCCAAUGCAAGGCACAACUCCAGUUUGUGCAGGCUCCGAGAGAAGCGAGAGGAAUCCCCCUGGAGAAGGCAGCGAGACUGGAAGUGCCUGAUCACCAUCCCUAACAGCCAACAGGCAGGUGUCAGAGGAUGGUGCCAGACUGGUUUUGGUGACAGGACGAGGAGCGAUGGCCAGAAAGAAGAACUCAACAAGCUCCACCUC